rnacentral:rRNA from 1 species
AGAGUUGAUCAUGGCUCAGGAUGAACGCUGGCGGCGUGCCUAACACAUGCAAGUCGAGCGGAGAUAGGUUGAAGCCUAGCGAUUCCUAUCUUAGCGGCGGAUGGGUGAGUAACACGUGGGUAACCUGCCCUGUACUGGGGGGAUAACAGCUGGAAACGGCUGUUAAUACCGCAUAUGCGCACGGAGCCGCAUGGCCCUGGGCGGAAAGAUUCAUCGGUACAGGAUGGGCCCGCGCCGGAUUAACUUGUUGGCGGGGUAACGGCCCACCAAGGUGAUGAUCCGUAGCCGACCUGAGAGGGUGACCGGCCACAUUGGGACUGAGACACGGCCCAAACUCCUACGGGAGGCAGCAGUGGGGGAUAUUGCACAAUGGGGGAAACCCUUGAUGCAGCGACGCCGCGUGAAGGAAGAAGUAUUUCGGUAUGUAAACUUCUAUCAGCGGGGAAGAAGAUGACGGUACCCGCACAAGAAGCCCCGGCUAACUACGUGCCAGCCGCCGC